rnacentral:tmRNA from 1 species
GGGGAUGUAAAGGUUUCGACAGGGGUGCGUGUGGUAUAGAUAGCGAGUCGGCGUUCCAUGAGGCCGUUGCUGGCUUAAUUCAGUUGUUCAUAUGAAUUAGGCGAGACAAUAUGAACUGGGGUUGUGUAGCUUGUCUGUGAGCGGUAGCAACCUGAGAUCUAAAUCAUAGACUGUGCUCGGAGAAGUCUAUAUGGCAACACUUCUGGACAGGGGUUCGACUCCCCUCAUCUCCACCA